rnacentral:lncRNA from 1 species
UUUGUACGAUGUUCAGCAGCUUGUAGAAGUUAUAAAACAAACAGUCUUCUUCUGGCAGACUGCAGAGGUUUGCUCCACCUCUUCUGCUACAGAUGUCUGCAGAUGUGGUCCACAGACUAUAGACAUUUUACCUAUGAAAAAAUAAACAGCACCUUAAUCUAUUUUAUUAAAAGCAUGCACAUUAUUGUAAACAAGUUUAAGCAUUAUUUAUCAACUCAAUUAUUAUGAUGCUGGUGUGAAACGUGCAACAAAGAGUUGAUCUGCCAUAAAUCAUCUGUAUCUCAUACAUGCAUCUUGCAUGUUUCCUUCCUACCAGACCAGUGAACUGUUUUGCACAAGAUUUUGUAGUAACAUACACGCUAUUGAUGUAUUGCAAAAUACAACCAUUUAUUAUGUAGAGUUUGUGCAUAUUUCGCAUUCUUUUAGUUAGAAUUUCGUUACUUUGAUCGAUUCUUGUGUUUUCAGGUCGUUGGUGCUAAAAACGUCGAAAAACGAAGAGUUAAUGGCUGGGAAACGAGUUGGA